rnacentral:rRNA from 1 species
CCUACGGGAGGCAGCAGUGAGGAAUAUUGGUCAAUGGCCGGAAGGCUGAACCAGCCAAGCCGCGUGAAGGACGAAGGUGCCAAGCAUUGUAAACUUCUUUUGUCAAGGGACAAAAUCAGGCUCGAGAGUCUGACCGAGGGUACUUGAAGAAAAAGCAUCGGCUAACUCCGUGCCAGCAGCCGCGGUAAUACGGAGGAUGCGAGCGUUAUCCGGAUUUAUUGGGUUUAACGGGUGCGUAGGCGGAAGGUAAAGUCAGCGGUAAAAUGUCGGUGCUCAACACCGGCCUGCCGUUGAAACUGGUCGUCUUGAGUGAGCGAGAGGUAGGCGGAAUGCGUGGUGUAGCGGUGAAAUGCAUAGAUAUCACGCAGAACUCCGAUUGCGAAGGCAGCAUACCGGCGCUCAACUGACGCUGAGGCACGAAAGCGUGGGGAGCGAACAGGAUUAGAUACCCUGGUAGUC